UGGGGUGUCGCCAAGCGGUAAGGCAACGGACUCUGACUCCGUCACUUCAAAGGUUCGAAUCCUUUCACCCCAA
rnacentral:tRNA from 1 species